ACACAUUCCAGCCAAUCAGCAGCAGACCCUCCCUCCCAGACCCUCCCACCUCCUGGACAGCUCACUAAGAAUGCAGCUUAAAAAUGGAUGCUGUCCAGGAGGUGGGAGGGUUUGGGAGGGAGGGUCUGCUGCUGAUUGGCUGACUGUGAGG